GUUCAUGUUUUACUGGUGACGUUAUUAUGUCGUAGUUUUCUUGUUUAUCAAAUGUAUCAAGUCGUCUGUUUGACAACAAACAACGUCAACCUUAUCACUUUUUUAUGUAGCUGUGGGGUGUGAUAUUCACCAUGACGAGGAUUUCCGUUUGACAGUUGACAACUUGGUGACAUAUACUUAUUACCAUACCAUAUAAAAAGCUGGUUGAAACCAACCUUUAUUCGCAAACAGAUAUGUUACCGUUGAGACACACAAAGACAACACUCAACAACUAAAAGAAAGAGUCUCGAAAAAAAACCAGGAACUUUAAAUUGCUAUGAAGCGGUUUUUCGAAUAAUGCAUGAUCAAGCAAUGAGCUUCUCUUCACCAUCAGUCAUUUUCAAAAUUUGUCAAAUUGCUGCACUUGUCGCUGGUUUGGGAUUUGUUGGUUACUUCACAAAAGAGUCCGUUGAUUAUAUUGACGAUUCUAAUUCAGAAUCAUAUAAACGAGGCGUUCUUGGUAGACAGGAAUUUUUCUUUAUACGACCUGCGUUGGAGCUGUUAUUUCAAUCGUUGGAUUGGUUCUCAACUUUAAUGGAUUAAUCAAUAAUAAGCACAAUGCUGCAGCUAUGGCAGCAGUGCAAGGUAUAUGGACGAUACAGUUAUUGGUCACCACAAGCCUAAUUACCGUUGUCUACUCUUCGUACAACAAGGACAUAGGAGGCACGUCUUCAUGUGAAUAUUGGGAUGACGCCCCAAACAGGAAAUAUGAUUACACCUGUGGUCAAUUGAUUGGUGGAAUGGUUUCUGGUUUUAUUGCUGCCAUAUUGUAUGGAGUGGAUGCAAUUUUCACUUUCAAAAUCUCUACGGAACAGAGUUAACAUGGAAGAAAAUUUAUCACAUUUAGUCCUUAACCAACAAAUAAAAAUUAAUAUUUUUGUAUCAUUUAGGUUAUUGUAACAUUUUCAUGUAAAGUAACUGUUAUAUCAUUAAGCAUGCAUUUGAAUAAAAAUAAGAAUUUUCGUCCUCGCUGUUGAUUAA